ACUGCGAGAAAGUGCAUUCGGACACAUCUCAGUUAGGACUUGGCAGUUCUAGAAGACCCAAGAAAUGCUGUGCUCUGACCAAAGCCUUCACUGGCUGUGUUUCAGUGGUGGAGAUUUCACUGGUCAUGAUACCUCCAGACAGGCAACCCAGGGAACCGAUAAAAUUAAUUUAUGUGUAAGAGGUUUCUGAAAUAAGGAAUCUUGAAAUUAACAGAAACAAGGAAUCUGUUUGUAAAAUAAGGAUUCUAUACUGGAUUCUGGGCAUUGACCUGCUGCCAGGUAUUAUCAUCUACGAAGACUUGAUCCUAGGUGACCACCUGACCAACCCAAGGAGUCUUCCUGAUUAGCUGAAAGCUGUGUACAGAGAUGGACAUUUGGGGGGAUGGAGUCCUCAGUGAGCACACAGGAGGAGUAUCUGCUCUAUGGGUUUUUAAAAGGGUUUUUUUGAUCUGCCUUGGACAGGAUAGUUGAUGAGAAGGAACUGAACAUGGGAGGUUGCGGGAAGGAGAUGAUAUUUACUGAUAUUAUGCAACAUAAUUUAACCCUGUUUAAGUUUAUGAUUCAGUGCUACAGGAACCCAGCCAGACCCCCUCUGCAAAUACCUCUUCAAACUAUCAGUAAAAAUUUUAGUGGCAGAAUAAAGGAGUGAACUCCAAGAGACUAUCCUUAGUUUUUUUUCCUUUUUACCAAAGCCCAAACAAUGUAAGGAAGACUGAAAAAGUGUUUGGUUGAGUGUGAUUUACCUCCAGUUCUGUGUAAUUAACACUGACAAUGAAAGCUCAUGGGUAAUCAUACUUCAGCAGUUGAUUACUGCUUGAUUUUUCAGGUGGAUGAGCUAAACAGCAUCUUUCAGUAACCACAGGAUAGCUAUAAAGUGUGGUGCUUUCCUUCUUACAUGACCUGACCUACAAGGCACGCAAAGUAAUGCUGCUUUUCCCAGGAGCACUGUCAGAUUUGGUACUUUAGAAACACCAUCCCCACCAUUUCUGUCUGGUGUUCUCCUUACAGAACACUGUGGCACAAGGAGGGGAGAAAUGUGAAAUAAAAAGUUGAAGGAUUAAAAAUCUUGCCUUAAUUACACUACUUUUAUUAAUAUGACAUCCAUCAAAGUUCAAUUUCUGUUUCCACAUGGCUACAAGCGUGUUGGCUUCAACAGGAUCACUUUCAUGGCUAGGAGCAAAAGUUUAGGCUUCUGAUUAAUAACCAUUUUGUACAGAACAUAAAAAAACUAAUCCAGAAACAAGC